rfam:Lactobacillus acidophilus NCFM, complete genome.
UAUCGGUUCAAGUCCUGAAAGGAUUCAUUAAAUAAUUAGUGAAGAUGCCUUGUAACCGAAUAGCCGAUGUCUAUAUAGGGGGACUAAUAUG